AAAAGGUUCCAAUUUAUAGAUGCUGACCAAUAAAAGCAUUGAAGUUUAUUUACUAGAUUGAAGCAAUGUGACACUUCGUUACCUUUGUGGAAAAAAAUGCCACCUUCCUAUGGGUAAUUCAUGGAGAAUGUAGAAUCCCUUUUUAUUCUCCCCUUUUUUCUUUGGGUAUUAGUAAGAACAGCAUGAACACUCUUCAUCCUGAA
rnacentral:misc_RNA from 1 species